UACGAAGGGGGCUAGCGUUGUUCGGAAUUACUGGGCGUAAAGCGCGCGUAGGCGGUUUUGCAAGCCAGAGGUGAAAUGCCUGAGCUCAACUUAGGAAUUGCCUUUGGGACUGCGAGGCUUUGAGGACUGGAGAGGUGAGUGGAAUUCCCAGUGUAGAGGUGAAAUUCGUAGAUAUUGGGAAGAACACCGGUGGCGAAGGCGGCUCACUGGCCAGUUUCUGACGCUGCAGCGCGAAAGCGUGGGUAGCAAACAGG
rnacentral:rRNA from 1 species